AUUGAACGCUGGCGGCAUGCCUUACACAUGCAAGUCGAACGGCAGCGCGGGGGCAACCUGGCGGCGAGUGGCGAACGGGUGAGUAAUAUAUCGGAACGUACCCUGGAGUGGGGGAUAACGUAGCGAAAGUUACGCUAAUACCGCAUACGAUCUAAGGAUGAAAGUGGGGGCUCGCAAGACCUCAUGCUCCUGGAGCGGCCGAUAUCUGAUUAGCUAGUUGGUAGGGAAAAGCCUACCAAGGCAUCGAUCAGUAGCUGGUCUGAGAGGACGACCAGCCACACUGGAACUGAGACACGGUCCAGACUCCUACGGGAGGCAGCAGUGGGGAAUUUUGGACAAUGGGGGCAACCCUGAUCCAGCAAUGCCGCGUGAGUGAAGAAGGCCUCGGUUGG
rnacentral:rRNA from 1 species